ensembl:lncRNA
UUGAGAUGUACCCCUAGAAGGAUAUUAGACACGCUAUUGAGAUGUACCCCUAGAAGGAUAUUAGAUCAUACUAUUGAGAUGUACCGCUAGAAGGAUAUUAGACCAGAUUAUUGAGAUUUACCCCUAGAAGGAUAUUAGACUAGAUUAUUGAGAUUUACCCCUAGAAGGAUAUUAGACUAGAUUAUUGAGAUUUACCCCUAGAAGGAUAUUAGACACACUAUUGAGAUGUACCCCUAGAAGGAUAUUAGAUCAUACUAUUGAGAUGUACCCCUAGAAGGAUAUUAGAUCAUACUAUUGAGAUGUACCCCUAGAAGGAUAUUAGAUCAUACUUUUGAGAUGUACCCCUAGAAGGAUAUUAGACCAGAUUAUUGAGAUUUACCCCUAGAAGGAUAUUAGACUAGAUUAUUGAGAUUUACCCCUAGAAGGAUAUUAGACUAGAUUAUUGAGAUGUACCCCUAGAAGGAUAUCAUACCAGAUUAUUGAGAUGUACCCCUAGAAGGAUAUUAGACUAGAUUAUUGAGAUUUACCCCGAGAAGGAUAUUAGACACACUAUUGAGAUGUACCCCUAGAAGGAUAUUAGACACGCUAUUGAGAUGUACCCCUAGAAGGAUAUUAGAUCAUACUAUUGAGAUGUACCCCUAGAAGGAUAUUAGAUCAUACUAUUGAGAUGUACCCCUAGAAGGAUAUUAGAUCAUACUAUUGAGAUGUACCCCUAGAAGGAUAUUAGAUCAUACUUUUGAGAUGUACCCCUAGAAGGAUAUUAGAUCAUACUAUUGAGAUGUACCCCUAGAAGGAUAUUAGACCACGUUAUUGAGAUGUACCCCGAGAAGGAUAUUGAGAUGUCAUUACAUGCGACCCAAAAUGUCAUUAUAUCAAACAGUAAUGAAAAAAAAGACAAAUCUAUAUUCUACGAGUGGUACAUAAUAUAUUAGAUUUAAUAAUAACAAGACAAGUACAAACCAGCCGAGGCUCUACAACAGUUUUAAAACAUUGAAGUGGUCCCCGUUAGUCCCUCAGUCACUUUGACACUUCAGUGAUGUGCCCAAAAUAACACAUUUAAAUGUAAAUAUAGUUACAGCAGUUAAUAAUUAAAGAGGGAACUAUGAUCAAAUAAAAAUAUUUAAAAAAUAAAUAAAUUGUACAAUUUGUAAGUUUUUGUUUCUUUUAGUUAUUUUCAGUAUAAAAAUUUGACGGAUAAACUGUGUGCAAGUCAUCAUGAAUUGAUGUAUGUGAGAGGUUAAAUUUUAAAUAAUAGUAACGUGAAAGAUAAGGGCCUAGCUUCCAUCAAAUCAGCUGUUUACCAGUGACUGACGACAGCUAUUGUUUGGCAACUUGUUCUCAACUAGCCUGGUUAAAUAAAUAACGUGUUGGAGGUGUAACUGAUCUUAAAACCUCUUAAAGCUAGGGGGCAGAAUUUUCACUUUUGGAUAAAUAGUGUGCCCAAUUUCAACUUCCCGCUACUCAUGCCAAGAAUAUAAGAUAUGCAUAUUAUUCAUAGAUUUGGAUAGAGAACACUCUGAAGUUUCUAAAACUGUUUGAAUCAUGUCUGUGAGUAUAACAGAACUUAUGUAGCAGGCAAAACCCAGAGGACUAACUGUUCAGAAUUCCCCCCCCCCUCUGUUCCCUAUAUUGUCUCUGCCAUGGGAUAUUUCAUAGGAACCUAUUUACAGUUCCUACCGACUGUUGCCAGUCUUUGGAAUUUGUUUGAGGUUAUUCCUUUGUGCAAUGAAGAAGUAGGCCAACUCGGAACUGGGGACACUUUUGUGUUGUAAUAUGCUAGCUCCUUUGUUCACUGCUGGUGUAGACGGUGAAGGCUAUCAGAUAAUAGCUUCUUAUGCUUUCGCCGAAAAGCAUUUUUUAAAAAUCUGACAUGUUGGCUGGAUUCAUAACGAGUGUAGCUUUAAUUGAGUAUCUUACAUGUGUGAUUUAACGAAAGUUUGAAUUCUAUAGCAUUUUAUUUGAAUCUGGCGCUCUGCAUUUCCCCUGGCAAUUGACCAGUUGAGACAUUUGCAUCCCGCCUAUCCUUAAGAGGUUUUAAUCAGCUGUCAAAUCGGUAAACAGCAGCUCUUUUCAGGAAAAGUACACCGGCCUACUCGCGUUACAAGUUCAGAAUGAGGAAGUGUGUAGGUUAUUUUGAAAAUAUUGACGCUCAAUUUGGAAAAAUCAUUAUAACCUAAUCGAGGUGUAGAUUACAUCUCACAUUCCAGUGUUCGAACAAUGCUACAUGGGAUUUCUGUAUCUUUGACAGCUCUUUAUUUAAGAACAAAAUAUUUUUUUCCAAUGACAGCAGGUUAACUGCCUUGGUUCAGGGGAAGAAUGACAGAUGUUUAUCUUGUCAGCUCAGAAGAUUUGAUCUAGCAACCUAUCGGUUAUACCUCCUCUACACUCUAACCACUAGGCUACCUGCCACCUCUACACUCUAACCACUAGGCUACCUGCCACCUCUACACUCUAACCACUAGGCUACCUGCCACCUCUACACUCUAACCACUAGGCUACCUGCCUCCUCUACACUCUAACCACUAGGCUACCUGCCACCUCUACACUCUAACCACUAGGCUACCUGCCACCUCUACACUCUAACCACUAGGCUGCCGCCUCAUGCAAAAUUGACAGCUCUAAUGAGUCUUGGACUAGUAACCGAAAAGGCAAGAUCGAAUCCCCGAGCAAAAAUCUGCCAUUCUGCCCCGCUACAAGGCAGUUAACCCACUGUUCCUAGGCCGUCAUUUUAAAUAAGAAUUUGUUCUUAACUGACUUGACACGUAAAAUAAAAUAGACAGAGCUAUGGAUGCCAGGACUGACCAUCCAUGAUAUCAGAAUUAUAGUUUUAAUCAUGUUUUAAAGCUGUACAGUGUUUGUUUGCAUUGUUUAGAAACAUCGGGGUAAAACAAGCUCAUAUUGUGGGUUCUGAUGGGGUACGACAGUUGAUCUAAACUCAUGAGGUAUUCAUAUGUUAUAUUCUUCUAGAAUCAAUGGGUAGAUAUAAUGAAUUUAUAAGUAAAAAAAUGGGUGUAGCAACUAAGGAUUCUAGCUUUAAGGCUGUAUCUAUGAGAGCUGGGAAACUGUUGAUUGGUUAAACCAAUGCCACAGCAGCUAUGCCCCAGGCUAUUGGUUAGCCAGCAGCUAGCAGAGCCACAGCAGCUAUGCCCCAGGCUAUUAGCUAGCCUAGUAGCUAGCAGAGCCACAGCAGCUAUGUCCCAGGCUAUUAGCUAGCCAGCAGCUGUACCAUUAACAGAGCCAAACUGAGAGGCAAGGCAGCCAGAGAGAAAGAAGUGGGUCGGGGAGCACUUCCUGAGCUGGUUGAUGACCCUGAAAAAGUAGGAAAAACAGAGAUAUUGUUCAGUAAAUUACAGAAGUGGAUUGUCUUUUCAUGUUUCUGUUCAAAUGUUGACUUCGCUCUUAUAGAUGUGUACGGUGACAGUGAAACAGGGGCGGACUGGGACCAGAAAUUGGCCUUGGCAUUUUAUAUAUUUAUAUAUAUAUUUUUUUUUGUACCCCGUUUUCGUGGUAUCAAUUGUUAGUAGCUGCUAUCUUGUCUCAUUGCUAAAACUCCCGUACGGGCUCAGGAGAGACGAAGGUUGAAAGUCAUGCGUCCUCCGAUACACAAGCCAACCAAGCCGCACUGCUUCUUAACACAGCGUGCAUCCAACCCGGAAGCCAGCCGCACCAAUGUGUCGGAGGAAACACCGUGCAACCUUGGUUAGCACGCACUGCCCCCGGCCCGCCACAGGAGUUGCUGGUGCGUGAUGAGACAAGGAUAUCCCUACCGGCCGAACCCCUCCCUAACCCGGACGACGCUAGGCCAAUUGUGCGUCGCCCCACGGACCUCCCGGUCGCAUUCGGUUACUACAGCGCCCUUAACCACUGCGCCACCCGGGAGGUCUCGGCCCUGGCAUUUUUAACAUAUUGGCUAAUUUUUUCCUAAAUUAUUAGCCAGGUAAUUAUAAUUUUUACCCCCAGAAAAACACAUUAGACAGACCCACUGGACUGAAAAUGGACCAGCCCAUCUGGCCAUUUGCCCAAAAUGCCAGAUGGCCGGUCCGCACCUGGAGAUGAAUACUUACCAUCACUGAUGCUGCCUGGUAUAAUGUUCAGGGAGGUGGAACUGCUGGUGAGAAUUGCCUGUGAGUUGCUUGAGCUGGGAACCGAAGACUGAUUGUCGAACACGAGGGUAAUGUCGGUAACCACAGAUCCACUCCUACUCAGGAGAAGGAGAGAAAAUGGACAACCCUCAGAAAUCAUCAUCAGCAUCGUCAAAGUUUUCAAGUUUUAAUGUCAUGUGCACAAGUCCAGUGAAAUGCCUUUUCUUGCCUUAAACCCAACGAUGCAGUAAUCAACAUCAAUGUAGUAGUACAAAUAACAGAAGGUAGAACAGAAACCUAGUCAAUCAGUAAUGAGAAUUCAUACCCUUACCUGAAUGAGUUGACAAUGGAACGACGGAAGCCUGGGGUCUUAGCAAAAGCCUUGUUCACCUGCGUUGAAAGAUAGGAUGAUCAACAGUUCAAUGAAAACAGGGUCCUUGAUGGCAUUAAUAGAAGCUUUGGUUUCGUUCUUUCAUAGUAAAUAGACCUCUCAAUAGUAACCUUUUUGACUUGGCAUGUACGGAUAACUGAUGAUAACUGAUGAUAGGGUUUUACAGGAGGCAUCUACAGGUCUA